rnacentral:lncRNA from 10 species
CUGGCAGUACCCACCACCAUUCCACAACCACCAUUGAUUGAGGAGACUUGGUGCUGGUUAUACAGACUACUGACUUCGUGAAAAUUCAGAAAUCAAAAUAAUUCCUGAAUCUGCUGGCCACUGGAGAGCUGUGAACACUUUCUCUGCCAACAAGGAUUACCCAAUUACCAAAAGCAAACAAAGACAAACUGUCUGAAGUGAGCAGAAAAAGCAGAUGGAUGUUAAAAUCUGAUGAGAAGAAACUG